GAAAAAGCGAUGAAGAGAAACGUCAUUUUGUAGUUGUAAUCAGAGAGUUGCUGGUUGGUGAGAAGCAAUUUACGAUAUAAAAUGAUCAUCAUCUCCGAGCUAUGUAGCCAAAUGUUUUUAGUAGGUUGCAUUGGGAGCACCCAUUAUUAUGUCAGCGUAUCGUAAUUUUUACUGUACGUGUGAGAUAGCCUUAGUAAUAAGGUUAUAAAGAUAAGGUGGUACCGCGCUAAAACGUCCUUUAA
rnacentral:ncRNA from 1 species